GACGGAGGGUGCUAGCGUUGUUCGGAAUUACUGGGCGUAAAGCGUGCGCAGGCGGUUCGCUGUGUCCGAUGUGAAAGCCCCGGGCUUAACCUGGGAAUGGCAUUGGAAACUGGCGGGCUUGAGUGCGGCAGAGGGGGGUGGAAUUCCGCGUGUAGCAGUGAAAUGCGUAGAGAUGCGGAGGAACACCGAUGGCGAAGGCAGCCCCCUGGGUCGACACUGACGCUCAGGCACGAAAGCGUGGGGAGCAAACAGG
rnacentral:rRNA from 1 species